UAGAUGAUGAAUUAAUAUAUGUAACGGUGCAACUUGAUUGGAUUACACAUACUUUUAUUUAUUAUUCACACAUAUCGACACAUCUGCCGGGGUGCUCAGUUAUCUAUUUUAGGUAACGAUAGCGAUACGCUAUCAUAGGGUCGGUUUUAAGAUGGGAUAUGUGGACGCCUAACC
rnacentral:misc_RNA from 1 species